UAAGUAGUGUGAACUUGUCUUAUGGUCCUUUGUCUCCCUCUUCUAUAUAAAGCACAAAAGAUCGUAGCUAAUUAAGUAAUAAGAGAUGGGGCUCUCUUCUGCCAUUCGAUUUAUGAUGAUGAUCAUCAUCGCUCUUAUUCUAGCAUCCAAUCACUAUUCUGUCACUGCAGAUAUGAAACCAAAAGAAAAAGUCAUACCGAUUAAGAGGUCACUUGCACCAGUUAAUAACCAAGUUUGGAGACCAGUAACUCCACCUUCAGGAAAUCCUGGGCACAAUUAAUCGAGUCAUUUAUAUUUUGGCCGUUGUAUUUUUAUGUCAUAGUGUUCUUGUUCGUACUUUUAUUGUGUUCCUGUUCAGAGGUUUGAAAAAUAUUCUGAAACUUUUUAUUUUGACUAUGAUGGUAUUGUUUAAUCAUUAAUUAUGCUUUGUUUCGAA